AUCAGGAUUUCUGGAGCUGCUUAGCUGAGAGGUUUUGGUUAAGGGUCUCCCAGGAGGUUGCCAUGAAGGUGCAGGCUGGGGUCACAGGCACUGGAAGGCAUGGCUGGAGCAAGCAGACCAUUUCCAAGUGGCUCACUCUCAUAGCUGCCAAGUUGGUGAUUGCUGUUUGUAGAUACAUCCAGUUCCUUCCACAUCAACCCUGCCAUAGGCUGCUUGAGUAGUCUCAUGACAUGGCAGCUGGCUCACCCCAGAAUAAGGAAAUGACUUACUGCAAAGAACCACUCUUCCCCACGAGACUUCGAGAAGACCCGCUGUCACGGACUGAGUUGUGUCCUCUUAAAAUUCAGAUGUUGGAGUCCAAACCCCCAGUAACUCAGAGUGUGAACGUAUUUGAAGAGGUCUUUAAAGAGGUGAUGAAGGGAGAGAGACCCCAUGAGCUCGUCAAGCUCCUUCUGUGACUGAUCAGAGAUCCCACCGUGAGUCCAGCUCCUGGUCCCAUGCUCUGGAUAUAUCGGUCCCUGGCAGCGUGCAGUCUUCUUUCCACCAAUGACCCCUCGCGCUGCUUCCAGAAGCCAAGAAAGUGGGCUUUGUCCUUGGGGAUUUAGGAGGCGGAGCGGCGCCCCCUUGAGGCCACAUGGUGGAGGCAGCGAUGAGACCUGGAGUCUAAAAUUCAGACUGAAUCACAGGAAGAAGCUAUUUACACAAGUCAAACAUGGUCCAAUCUUGGCAAUUUCAUAAGGUUCCAAUCCUUAAGGGAUCAAAACCUGGCCAACUGCUUCCACCGAGAGGUGUGCCUUUCAAUGCCAGGCUUGGAGUGUCCCUCUUUAUUUAAAAAGGAGAGGAUUCCACAGCAGAGCUUCUCAAACUCUUCCACCCAAAUCCCCUCACCACAGAGGGACAGGAGUCCUGGGCAUGUAGCCUAAAGCAGCCAGGAGAAAAAAACCUUGACCUUAAUUUUUUUAAUGAUUUCACAUGAAUCAGUGGAAUGUGUUUAUGAUAAAAUCAUCUCCUCCUGAAAUACAUGUGUAAAACUGCUGCCCCAGUUAAACGCACUUAGUCUAACCAAGCCCUAGGAUUGGCCUCUCCAGCAUGAGAAGCAUUUCCAGCACUCCAGCUCCCCAGCUCCCACUCUGGGAUCCCACCUCAGACCCUCCCACUUCCUUGCACUCUGGCCUCUCGCUCUUGACCCUGCUCCCGCCACGCUCUUUCCUCAGAGUCCAUCAGUCCUGUCUUGUCUUCACCUUGGUCUCUGCCAAGUGUGGGUCCAAGUCAUAUAUUUGGGCUGUGAUCACAGGAACCCCAAGCCCCAGACCUCCCAAAGCACCCUAUGGAGAGACCUUACCCUCCUGGACAGACCCUCUCCCCCCAGCUAGACCUCAUCCUCUGGGUAGACCCAUCUCCCCAACCAGAACUCACCCUCCUGAGUAAACCCCAUCCCCCUAGCUAGACUUCAUCCUCCUGGACAGAUCCCAUCCCCCCAGCUAGACCUCACCCUCUUGGGUAGAUGCAUCUCCCCAACCAGAACUCUCCUGGGUAGACCCCUUCUACCCAGCUAGACCUGAUCCUCUGGACAGACCCCAUCAUCCCAGCUAGACUUCUCCCUCCUGGACUGUCCCCAUCCCCCCUCCAGCCAGACCUCACCCCUCUGGGUAGACCCCAUCCCCCCAACUAGACCUCACCCUCCUGGAUGGACUCUACCCUCCUGGAGAUACCUUCCCCUCCUGGGUACAUCCCACGUGGCUACACACUCCUUCCCCUGUCAGCUUUCUCCCCCAGGGUUCUGGGCAGCAGAGUCUGUGAUAAAGGAUACUAAGUGAUUCCCCAAUACUUCCCGUUUCCAGCCUCCAGUGGGCUCUCCCUGGGGCUAACGGUUCUUUUUGCUAUUUCUCCAGGCUUUGCCUGAUGACAAGUAUACUCUGAGAGUGUCCUAAUGAUACAGAUUUUGGACCCUAUCCCAGUUCUACUGAAUCCAAGUCUCUGGGGGAGGAGUUGGGGCUCUGCAUCUGGACACCUUCCUGCAGGGUCCCUCCUGGGAGGCAAGCCCGGGGAGCACCGCUGAGGCUCGCCUCAGUGCCCAUCCUAGACCUUCAGCAGCUAGCAGAGGAUGUCCCCACCAUCCCUCAGCCCACACUCCCACUGUCGCCCCAGCCAGGCUUGGCACUGCCUCCUUUCUCAGAAGAUUAAGACCAUCUGCUGUUUCCCAAGUUUCCCACCCUCCACCCUAAAAAUUUCUCCGUUUCCCAGUCUUUCCUCGUCUCUCAGAAAAUAAACAUCUUCCCAGGCUGCCUCCCCAGUGGGUCUGCACUCCUUGCUGUCUUCCCAGCACCUGCCCUUCCAGCCCGCCCUCUGUGUGUCCAGUGUUUCCCUCACCAAAGGACUCGCUUUGUUUUUCAAAUUGGAGGUUUUGUCUUCUCCCUAAAAACCAAAACAUCUCCCUGAGAAGUAACUCCCUCAAGCUACUGAUACGGAAGGGGGGCGGGGAAGUGCUGGGAAGGGAAGGGUGUGGUCCCUGGCUAGGGCUCCACCCCCGGGCCUGUGCCCACAGACCUAGGUGAGGACAGGCAUUUCUGUUUUCGUGCUUAAAUGUUGGAUUUCCCAAGACUACCCUGGCCUACCACACCCUCAUUCUGUGCCUGUAAAAAAACCUGAGAGCUUAGCAGGCACGCACACAAGCCUCUGGACGUCAAGAGGAACACACCGGUGUAAGAGCAGACUGAUAGUGGCCCACGGCAGGCUGGCAGGCCAUCGACAGGCAGAACCACUCAGUGCAGCUGGAGGACAGCCUGGCCACGGAGCGGUCCGACUUCAGAGGGGAAAACCACCUCCCCACUCCGUCUCCCUUCUGGCUCCCCCAUCUGAGAGCUACUUCCACUCAAUAAAACCUUGCACUCAUUCUCCAAGCCCAUGUGUG
rnacentral:lncRNA from 1 species